GCGUGCUCGGUGGGCUCGAAGGACAGCGAGGAGGCGGCGUGGACUGGCGCAGAGCAAGCGCUCCAGUCUCGGUUAUUCAGUCUUGCCUCUCAUGCUGCGCUUGGUGUUGGCCCUAGGGCUUGGGCUACCGUUCUCCAGCAACAGUAGAUAAGGAGAUUGCAGCCCCGGAGGUCAGCGGCGGGGAGAGAUCGAAACUCCUGCGAUAUAAACAGUGGCUCCUGGGACGUGGCGGAAUAAAACAGGAGCGAGGCCGAGGCAGAUGAACAAUGAGGAGAUACAGGGCAGGGGCCGGGUCCCAACAGCAGCCCCCAGAGGGCAUUCCCGCCUUGGCCACCACCCCUUAACCAGUGACACGCGUCCUUGCCAGAGCCAGCCUUAGCCCUUAGCUUCUCGUGUAUUCGUGGUCCUAAGGAGACCACGCCACUCUACUUGCCUCUCUGCCCCUUCUUUAGCACGAAUGAUAACACCUUGCUUUGUUUCGCUGUA